GAUGAACGCUGGCGGCGUGCCUAAUACAUGCAAGUCGAGCGAACAGAUGAGGAGCUUGCUCCUCUGACGUUAGCGGCGGACGGGUGAGUAACACGUGGAUAACCUACCUAUAAGACUGGGAUAACUUCGGGAAACCGGAGCUAAUACCGGAUAAUAUAUUGAACCGCAUGGUUCAAUAGUGAAAGACGGUUUUGCUGUCACUUAUAGAUGGAUCCGCGCCGCAUUAGCUAGUUGGUAAGGUAACGGCUUACCAAGGCAACGAUGCGUAGCCGACCUGAGAGGGUGAUCGGCCACACUGGAACUGAGAGACGGUCCAGACUCCUACGGGAGGCAGCAGUAGGGAAGCUUCCGCAAUGGGCGAAAGCCUGACGGAGCAAUGCCGCGUGAGUGAUGAAGGUCUUCGGAUCUUAAAACUCUGUUAUUAGGGAAGAACAAAUGUGUAAGUAACUAUGCACGUCUUGACGGUACCUAAUCAGAAAGCCACGGCUAACUACGUG
rnacentral:rRNA from 1 species